UGCACUGCGUGGUAUCUGGAUUCAGCAGUUUAUUCCUGCUGGGUGUUCAAAGGACAUUGCGAUAUGAAUUCAGCAUCUGGCAUCGUUGAUUUUCUUGGCAUUUUUAUUGACACAAUA